AGUCCAGGAGGUGGUGGUGGCUCACACCUUUCACAUCACUAGGGAGGUUGAGAUAGGAAUUUAAGGUAGGUAGAGAAAGGAUCUCAACCAUUCAGUUUGAGGAUUCAUAGAAACAGGAGUUCAGCUCUUUUGGCCCAAGGAUUUGGUAGAGGUAAGAACUCUCUGGUGGCUGUGGUUUGCUCUUUUGUUUCUCUGAUCUUUCAGCAUUUAUCCCGAUAAUUGGCUCUGGGUUUUUAUUAAGACCAAUUAGGAUUCAUGCAACUUUUGGCAUCCAACUUAUAGAGCACGAAUUCACACAAAAAGCAGCUCAGGCCAGAGCUACACACACCUAGAGUCACUACCCUACUGGCUAGGUUUUCCUUUUCUUCCUCAAGCCCUCUGAGGGAGUCUGGGCUCCAAAAGCCACAGGAAUUAGCCACUUUCCCAUGUUUCCUCAUGCAGACAGCUGGCUCUUUGGCUUCUUCCCUCUCCUGCUGGGUUGUGGCUUUCCCUGGACCCCUUCCUUUGGAUGCUGCCAUACUAGGUAGCAGUCUCACUUCACUGCCAUCUGAAUCAUCACUGUCAGCAGAUCUGGAGAGACUAAAUUGAGUCCUGCCUAUUCUUCCUAAUCUAGCAUUGGGCUCGGCCCAGGGAAGCCACAAUAACUACACAGAGGAACUGAAGCUGAUGUGAUGUUAAGAAUACACCUCUUGUUUGGAAGGAGUAAGUGUGUCUGAGACAUGGUCUCAUAUCUCCCAGACUGGACUAAAGAUGACUGUGUACCCCAAGAUAAUCCCAAACUUUUUCUGAACCUCCUUCCUUCACCUCCUGAGUGCUAGGAUUACAGACCUGCAACACCAUGCCUAGUUCUAUACGGUACUGGAGGUCAAAUCCAAGGCUCUCUGUUUGCUAGGGAGGAACUCUACCAACUGGUCUCCAUUCCUGCUUCUGCUUCUGUUAUUAAUGUAGACACUGAAAACAUACUGGAAGAUGUUUCAAGAGGAGAUAUUAACAAGAAUAGAGGGUUUCUGUGUAUCAAAAACUAAUCCUGGGCUUGAGAAAUGGAUGGCUCAGUGGAUGAACGAAACUGCUACACAAGCAUGACAUGAGUUUUGAUCCCCAACACCUACAUAAAAUCAUGGCCAUACAUACUUGAUAUUGCCAGGCUAUAAGAGGCAGAGAUAGGAAGUCACUGGGGCUUGCUGCCCAUGGCCUAACUGCAGGUUCAUUGAGAGAUCCUGACUCAAGGGAAAAGGGGGGAGAGGAGUGAUAGAACAGGACACCUGACAGCCUCCUCUGGCUUUAGAGUGCACACUCGUGUAUGUAUUUGCACAUACAUAUGCAUAUUCUUCACCCAUCAGACUAGCAAAGACUGCACAUGCUCAAUACUGGCAAAAUUACAAGCAUAAUACUCUCUGGACAACAAUCAAGGAAUUGGUUACCAGAGCUCUAAAUAUCUUCAUAACCUCUGAUCUAUGAAUUUGACUUCUGGAAUGGAUUAUGAAGAAAUGAUAUUAAAUGAGGUCAAAGAUUUAAAUGCACAGUUGUUCACUAAAGCACCAUUUAUAAGAGCAAGCCAAGUGUCUAAUAUUUGUAGAAUGAUUAGGGAAAUUAGAGUGAGUCCAUACAGUGGACCAUAAAGUCACUAUUAAAAAUGAUAGACACCAGAAGUUUUUACUGAGGGUUUGAGAGAUGGCCCAGUAGCUAAAAGUAGACAUUGUUCUUGCAGAGGACCUACAGGGUGGGGGUGGUUGGGAAGCAGGGGGCUCAUAACCACCUGUAGUACCAGCUCCAGGGGAUCUGAUGCCUCUGGCCUCCAUAGUAACAAUAUUCUUGUACAUAUAAACAUAAUUAAAACUGAAUUAUUUUUGAAGUUUUUAACAACAUACAAAAGCUUUUUAAAGUUAUCAUUACUAUUUUUGUGUGAUGUGUGUGUGGGGUAUUUGUUUGUAAUAUGUGUCUGGUGUGUGGAGUGUGUGUAUGC